ACAGUGUCUGGUGGGUAGUUUGACUGGGGCGGUCUCCUCCUAAAGAGUAACGGAGGAGCACGAAGGUUGGCUAAUCCUGGUCGGACAUCAGGAGGUUAGUGCAAUGGCAUAAGCCAGCUUGACUGCGAGCGUGACGGCGCGAGCAGGUGCGAAAGCAGGUCAUAGUGAUCCGGUGGUUCUGAAUGGAAGGGCCAUCGCUCAACGGAUAAAAGGUACUCCGGGGAUAACAGGCUGAUACCGCCCAAGAGUUCAUAUCGACGGCGGUGUUUGGCACCUCGAUGUCGGCUCAUCACAUCCUGGGGCUGAAGUAGGUCCCAAGGGUAUGGCUGUUCGCCAUUUAAAGUGGUACGCGAGCUGGGUUUAGAACGUCGUGAGACAGUUCGGUCCCUAUCUGCCGUGGGCGCUGGAGAACUGAGGGGGGCUGCUCCUAGUACGAGAGGACCGGAGUGGACGCAUCACUGGUGUUCGGGUUGUCAUGCCAAUGGCACUGCCCGGUAGCUAAAUGCGGAAGAGAUAAGUGCUGAAAGCAUCUAAGCACGAAACUUGCCCCGAGAUGAGUUCUCCCUGACUCCUUGAGAGUCCUGAAGGAACGUUGAAG
rnacentral:rRNA from 1 species